UACGGGGGGGGCAAGCGUUGUUCGGAAUUACUGGGCGUACAGGGCUCGUAGGUGGCCAACUAAGUCAGACGUGAAAGCCCUCGGCUCAACCGGGGAACGGCGUCUGAGACUGGCAAGCUGGAAUCCGGGAGAGGGAUGCGGAAUUCCAGGUGUAGCGGUGAAAUGCGUAGAUAUCUGGAGGAACACCGGUGGCGAAGGCGGCAUCCUGGACCGGCAUUGACGCUGAGGAGCGAAAGCCAGGGGAGCAAACGGG
rnacentral:rRNA from 1 species